rnacentral:lncRNA from 1 species
CUUUCCUCAUUAUUUGUACCUCUCUUCCUAUUUCCCUCUCCUCUGUCUUCCUAAAUAUGCAUAGCUGAGCCUUAUUAGGAUAUAUAGCCAGGAUUGGUAGAGAUUUAGGGGGCUCCCUUUCCUCUCUCCCUUUAACCAUUUCCCACCCCCUCAGGACAUGCGUGACAGAUGAUAGGCAGGGGCCAAGGGUCCUCUCUGGUCAAUGGCUGGCCACCUUUUUACCUCUUAAGAGGUUUCAAGAUAAUGAUAUCUGUGUAACUUCAUGGUAAGAAGAUAGAGCUCCAUUCUGCUCCCGCCAUGGUAACCCGAAGGUAAGCCAAGAGGCUCCAUGUUGGGGUGUGUGUGUGUGUGUUGUGGGAAGCAGGCCUGAGAAGCCUAGAUUUUUGGGCAGAGAACUACAAGAAGAGUAAUGUUGCCUGCCCCUGUCCCCAUCUCCAUCCUGGAAGGGUGCAGGUCCUCAGCUGGCAGCGGGAGAAAGGCAGCUGGUGAAAGGCAGCAGCCAGCGACUUCACCACUUUGAGUUGGGCCCCUUCUGGUGUAGAACCUGGAUCCCCUAACCUCCUUGGCUUGCCGCUAGCGUGUCAUUAUCCACGUUUUGCUCCAUGUAAAACCCUCUUCCAACAUCCCCUUCCUAUUCAGACACUGUUUGACAGUGCAGAGACUGGUCCAGAAAUGGGGUCGCUUGCCUCUGUGAGUCAAGCCUCUCCUGCUCCAGAAAGUAAGAUGAGAAUAGCUGCUCCCCGCUUGCUUCUUGGGGUCCUGGGAGGAUGCAGCAGUAGUAGAACAGCUUUUGGUACAUAUCAAAUCCUGCUGA